CGGGGUGUAGCACAGUUGGCUAGCGCGCUUGAUUUGGGAUCAAGAGGUCGGGGGUUCAAGUCCCUCCACCCCGA
rnacentral:tRNA from 1 species